UUUCCCAGUCACGAUACGGAUAGAGGUUAGUGGAAUUCUUAAAGUAAAGGUAAUAUUUGUCGAUAUUAGGAGGAAUACCUGAGGCGAAGGCGGCUUUCUGGAUCUAUACUGACGCUGAGGCACGAAAGCGUGGGGAGCAAACAGGAUUAGAUACCCUGGUAGUCCACGCCGUAAACGAUGAGUGUUCAAUAUUGGAAUUAAUUUUUCAGUGUUCAAGCUAACGCGUUAAACACUCCGCCUGGGGAGUACGAUCGCAAGAUUGAAACUUAAAGGAAUUGACGGGAGCUCGCACAAACGGUGGAGCAUGUGGUUUAAUGCGAUAACACGCGCAAAACCUUACCAGUUCUUGACAUAUGGUUUUUUAAAGAGAUGUUAUUGUUUUUUUAUAAAUUAUACAGGUGUUGCAUGGCUGCCGUCAGCUCGUGUCGUAAGAUGUUUGGUUAAGUCCAUAUCAACGAGCGAAACCCUUGCUUAUAGUUGCUAAUAAAAUGAGACCUUAAUAAGUUUUAUUUUAAGAACUCUAUAGGGACUUUCAAUGAAAUAUUGAAGGAAGUAGAGGAUGACGUUAAGUCUUCAUGGCCCUUAUGAACUGGGCUACACACGUGCUACAAUGGGAGUAUCAAAAAGUUGCGAAAAUGCAAGUUGGAGCAAAUCUUCUAAAUAUUCUCGAAGUGCGGAUUGUUUUCUGCAAUUUGAAAGCAUGAAGUUGGAAUCGUUAGUAAUCGUAGAUCAGCACGCUACGGUGAAUAUGUUCUCGAGCUCUGUACACACCGCCCGUCACGCGCUGGGAGCUGGUAAUAUUUAAAGUAAUUCAGUUAACUUAAUUUUCUAAUCCAAAUUUAAGAGGCUAAUUAUAAGAGUAGGAUUGGCUACUCGGGUGAAUAUCGUGA
rnacentral:rRNA from 1 species